GUAAUGCCGGAUGCUCCAGUUGAUCGCAUGGUCUUCUGGGAAAGCUUUCGCGGUAUGGGAUGGGGUCGCGUCCUAUCAGCUUGACGGCGGGGUAACGGCCCACCGUGGCUUCGACGGGUAGCCGGCCUGAGAGGGCGACCGGCCACAUUGGGACUGAGAUACGGCCCAGACUCCUACGGGAGGCAGCAGUGGGGAAUAUUGCACAAUGGGCGCAAGCCUGAUGCAGCGACGCCGCGUGAGGGAUGGAGGCCUUCGGGUUGUAAACCUCUUUUAUCGGGGAGCAAGCGAGAGUGAGUUUACCCGUUGAAUAAGCACCGGCUAACUACGUGCCAGCAGCCGCGGUAAUACGUAGGGUGCAAGCGUUAUCCGGAAUUAUUGGGCGUAAAGGGCUCGUAGGCGGUUCGUCGCGUCCGGUGUGAAAGUCCAUCGCUUAACGGUGGAUCCGCGCCGGGUACGGGCGGGCUUGAGUGCGGUAGGGGAGACUGGAAUUCCCGGUGUAACGGUGGAAUGUGUAGAUAUCGGAAAAUAACACCACC
rnacentral:rRNA from 1 species